AUAUUGCUGCCACAGAUGCUAAAAGGCCUAAGUCCAGCCUCCAGUUGCGGUGAGAGACCCAUUAGGCCCAAUGGAUUCUCAAUUGAGGCUCAAUGGAUUCCCAGCUGUAAGUACUCAUGUUGAUACACAUGUCCUCUUCCAUCCUGAACGCACUGUACAAAGUGACAGACCUUUUAUGAACUGGUUGACAUUUGGAUGUGAUGGUGGCACUGCUUUCUCUUGAAGGCAUCUCUUGGGCUUUCAUGUGAGUGCAGGAUCACUGAGGAUUUUCUGAGGCACGAAUUCAUGGAGACCACGUCAAGGGGGAGAGCGUCCAGUUUGCAGUGGCCAGGUGUGUGCUGGCUAGGACACGCCACUAGAGGGGGACACAUCCAUGUGUAAUGGGACAUGGCCACCAGCCACGAACGUGGACCUUCAGAGUGGACAUGGUGCGUUGGUGGCCAUGUGGCCUCUGUGGAUCAUCGCCAUCUAAGACCUCCUGCGCCCUGGUUGCCUAUAGCGCUGUGUGGCCAUGGGAGCUCAUACCUGGCCAUGGGAGGGCAACCUUCCUGUAAAACACCGAGACCGUUUUGAUGGUGGUGGAGUCAAUACCCAUGGUGGAAGAGGGAGAAACCUUGCUCAUCUCUCUCACUGUUAGCAUCACUCUGAAGUUUGUCUGGCCUUUUCCCGGUUUGCAGCGUGGUCCUGUGCUGAGUCUGCUCAGCACUUGGGGUAGGAUGCAACCUGUGGGGAAGAUCUGGAUCAGCCCUGACAUGGCAAGCCAGCGAUUGCUUGUGUUGGGCUCCUAUUGCAACGGUCUCUGGGUCAGUGGCAUGGUUCAAAGAGUUCCUAUGUCUCUGCACAGCCAGUCCCCAGGCUGGACAAGCUACUGCUAAAAGGAGUUACCCAAGUGUUAUCUCAUAUCCUGGGUUUUCAUGCCAGAUUCUGGACUUGCACUUCUGGUUGGAUUUGUGACACCUCAGGAGCCUCAGGACAUGUCUCUCAUGGUGUUCCUCCACCUGCUCCAGCAGCUCCAAGCCACCUCUGACCAGGACAGGCAAUAAAGAUGCACCUUACAAAAUCCCUCACUUUGUCUACAGGGUUGGCAAAGCUCAGCCAUGACUGCAAAACGGCCAGGCAUUGUGCCUGGAGAAGGAGGAGACAGAGCCCCAGCCUCUCAACCUCAUCAAGCAGCCUAUGCUGUUCCAUGGCUCCCGCUGCUGCAUAUCCCCGCUCAUCCCCGCUGCCGGCAAGCGAAACCCUGCGUGUGCGUGGGAAGAGGAGGAAUGUCCAGCAUGUCUGUCUGUGGGAUGAUGUGCCAGAGAUGUUCUCCAAGGCUCAGCUGUCUCCUUGAGGUGAAACAGCAUUGCUGCCACACAGCCAUGGAUGUCUCAUGGAUGUCUUCUGUCAACUGAGAAACAUCAGAGCCAUCUCCCAGACCUGAAACCUACUGGGACCUACAAGAAGACAUGUCCUUUCUGCCGGGAGAACUGCAAAUAUGUUGGGGGCCCAAUGGACUUCUCCCUAACCUGUAGCUAUUUUAUUUAUUUACUUAUUUAUCUAUUUAUUUUAAAUAGAACAAAUCCUUCCUUGAUGGGCACGCUAAUCUGGAGUACAUAAAGAUAUCUUGGGGUGCUGGGGACUUAGCUGCAGGCCAGAGAGGGCUCGCUCUUAGUUCCACUGUAAUUAGUGGAUGGUUGACCAAGUAAACGCUCUUAUGUGUAGUGAGAACCUCUCAGAAAAUGUGCUGCCAGCAGCUUCAGUUGGCUGGUGUCUGCACGUUGCUGUCCUCCUGCCAUGCCCAGAGCCACAUCCUCAUGCCCUGUUCAUUGUGACAACCCUGCUGUCCUCAUACAGGAAUUAAAACACAUUUUUGCUCAGUAGGAUAUGAACACUGUGAACCUUUUUCUUGUUGGUUUUGAUGAUAGUGGGAGAUCCAGGUACCUAUAGAUGCACGUAGAAACUCAGCGAACAUUUCGGAGUCUCUGCAUUAAGAAUCUUUUCUCUUUUUCUGAUGUCAAAACUGAAGCAGUGGUUGCCCAGUUUCUGAUUGACAGCUCAUCUUUUGGCCCAUAACCUGCAGUAGCACAAAAAACAAAAAGCCCCAAUUUGCUUUCUUUGCUGAAUGAAGAUGCACAUUUAAAAAGCUUCUCUUGCAAACCU